CCGCAGCCUGAGCGCAGCCUGACGCAGCCAUGCCGCGUGAGUGAUGAAGGCCUUAGGGUUGUAAAGCUCUUUUCCCCGGGACGAUAAUGACGGUACCCGGAGAAGAAGCCCCGGCUAACUUCGUGCCAGCAGCCGCGGUAAUAAUAUAAC
rnacentral:rRNA from 1 species